rnacentral:ribozyme from 1 species
CGAGCCGCCUUGAACUCAUCAUCAUGGACCAUUACAAUAGAGCCAAGGACGCAGAA